AGUGAACGCUGGCGGUAGGCCUAACACAUGCCAGUCGAACGGCAGCACAGUAAGAGCUUGCUCUUACGGGUGGCGAGUGGCGGACGGGUGAGGAAUACAUCGGAAUCUACUUUUUCGUGGGUGAUAACGUAGGGAAACUUACGCUAAUACCGCAUACGACCUACGGGUGAAAGCAGGGGAUCUUCGGACCUUGGGCGAAUGAAUGAGCCGAUGUCGGAUUAGCUAGUUGGCGGGGUAAAGGCCCACCAAGGCGACGAUCCGUAGCUGGUCUGAGAGGAUGAUCAGCCACACUGGAACUGAGACACGGUCCAGACUCCUACGGGAGGCAGCAGUGGGGAAUAUUGGCCAAUGGGCGGAAGCCUGAUCCAGCCAUACCGCGUGGGUGAAGAAGGCCUUCGGGUUGUAAAGCCCUUUUGUUGGGAAAGAAAAGCAGCAGGUUAAUCCCCCGCUGUUCUGACGGUACCCAAAGAAUAAGCACCGGCUAACUUCGUG
rnacentral:rRNA from 1 species